rnacentral:rRNA from 1 species
GAUGAACGCUAGCGGCAGGGCUUAAUACAUGCAAGUCGAGGGCCCAGCAAUGGGACCGGCGCACGGGGUGCGUAACGCGUAGGAAUCUGCCUGUUAGUGGGGGGACAACUUAGGGAAACUUAAGCUAAUACCGCAUACGCCCUACGGGGGAAAGGAGGGGAUCUUCGGACCUUUCGCUAACAGAUGAGCCUGCGUAGGAUUAGCUAGUUGGUAGGGUAAAAGCCUACCAAGGCGACGAUCCUUAGCUGUUCUGAGAGGAAGAUCAGCCACACUGGGACUGAGACACGGCCCAGACUCCUACGGGAGGCAGCAGUGGGGAAUAUUGCGCAAUGGGCGAAAGCCUGACGCAGCGACGCCGCGUGAGGGAUGAAGGUCUUCGGAUUGUAAACCUCUUUCAGCAGGGACGAAGCGAAAGUGACGGUACCUGAAGAAGAAGCACCGGCUAACUACGUG